rnacentral:rRNA from 1 species
AAACCUUUAACAACGGAUCUCUUGGCUCUGGCAUCGAUGAAGAACGCAGCGAAAUGCGAAAAGUAAUGUGAAUUGCAGAAUUCAGUGAAUCAUCGAAUCUUUGAACGCACAUUGCGCCCGCUGGUACUCCGGCGGGCAUGCCUGUCCGAGCGUCAUUU